rnacentral:tRNA from 1 species
AAAGCUGUCGUCUAAAUUGGCAAGACACCGGUAUAGGAGUUUCGGAAUUACCAAAAGGGUCAACCGGGGCUUACUUCCUGAGGGAACCGGGAAUGUUGGUUCGAAUCCAGCCUGCUUUU